CCUACAGUCUAUCUGGCAAAAGCUGGGAACUGAAGGCCAGACUGGGCUCUGUCCCAGCUUCUCCUGGAGCCAGAAGCUUGGCGUUGGGACUGCUCUGACUGCCUGAACAGAGACUAUGUGAGGCCAGCUUCCCUGAUGGAGAGACCCCCAAAUCCUUCAUUACCACCGCCCCCAACACUGCCUUCACCAUCAGAACUUCUAGAAACAGCCUCACAUCCAAGCCAGGAAGAUGUGACAAGCCGAAGGCCGGGAAGAUGGUACAGCCUCUGAAGCAGUUGUCCCGCAGACACAAGGGCCCAGGUUUGGUUUCUCCAGAGUCCAGUUGUCAACUCGCAAGUCACCUUCUGAAAGAGUCUUUGGCCAUCCUGCCUGCACUAGUAUGCCCAACCCCAACCAUCACCCAGCCUACUGGCCAAGCAACUGGAUGUCAUCUCACCGAUUCUCACUGUUCAUACGUGCCUCUCUUACUAGACUGUGGGUCUCUUGUCAGGACAGUAUAAAACACAUGGGACAGCCACAUUGACUGAGGACACCUUGAUCUUAACUUGAUCGGCCCUGCAAAGGCCCUGUUUAAAGAGGACAACUUGCUGGUGUCAAUUCUCUCUUUCCACCAUGUGAGUCCCAAGGAUGGAACUCUGACAGUGGGACUUGGCAGUGGGCUUCUUCACCUGCUGAACCUCCUUGCUGGCCCAAGAAAGAGCUCUUAGGAUAAUCAGAUGCAACCAACAACAUGAUUUCACAGCAACAUCUCCUCUAUGAGGGAUUCCUGGCAAAAAGCAUGUGAAAAUCUGCUUCUUGGCCAUCCUCUGUCACUAAAGGACUGCAGAUGGGAACAAUGACACAACAUUAGGAAUAUGCACACCUAUGGGAAUGGGCAAAUUAAACAAUAAGUAAAUACAAGGGCAGUUCUCUCUGCUGGUGAGGAUCCAGGCAAUGGGAACUUGCAGAGACAGGCAGGAGAUGCUCUUUGGAGGACUCACAGAGCUGACUGUAGCCUUGCCAAGGGUUCAUAAUCACACCCCUGGCUGCAGUCCCUACAAUAAAACCU